UGGGGAAUUUUGGACAAUGGGCGAAAGCCUGAUCCAGCAAUGCCGCGUGUGUGAAGAAGGCCUUCGGGUUGUAAAGCACUUUUGUCCGGAAAGAAAUCCUUGGCUCUAAUACAGUCGGGGGAUGACGGUACCGGAAGAAUAAGCACCGGCUAACUACGUGCCAGCAGCCGCGGUAAUACGUAGGGUGCAAGCGUUAAUCGGAAUUACUGGGCGUAAAGCGUGCGCAGGCGGUUUGCUAAGACCGAUGUGAAAUCCCCGGGCUCAACCUGGGAACUGCAUUGGUGACUGGCAGGCUAGAGUAUGGCAGAGGGGGGUAGAAUUCCACGUGUAGCAGUGAAAUGCGUAGAGAUGUGGAGGAAUACCGAUGGCGAAGGCAGCCCCCUGGGCCAAUACUGACGCUCAUGCACGAAAGCGUGGGGAGCAAACAGGACUAGAUACCCUGGUAGUCCACGCCCUAAACGAUGUCAACUAGUUGUUGGGGAUUCAUUUCCUUAGUAACGUAGCUAACGCGUGAAGUUGACCGCCUGGGGAGUACGGUCGCAAGAUUAAAACUCAAA
rnacentral:rRNA from 1 species